AGAGUUUGAUCAUGGCUCAGGAUGAACGCUGCGGCGUGCUUAACACAUGCAAGUCGAACGGUCGUAGCAAUACGAUAGUGGCGCACGGGUGAGGAACACGUAGCUAACCUGCCCCCAAGUACGGGAUAACUUCCCGAAAGGGAUGCUAAUACCGUAUAAGCUCACGCCGAGUAGGUAGGUGUGAGAAAAGGUUUACUGCUUGGGAGGGGGCUGCGGCCCAUCAGGUAGUUGGUGAGGUAACGGCUCACCAAGCCGACGACGGUAGGGGGUCUGAGAGGAUGGCCCCCACACUGGGACUGAGACACGGCCCAGACUCCUACGGGAGGCAGCAGUGAGGGAUAUUGCGCAAUGGGGGAAACCCUGACGCAGCGACGCCGCGUGGGUGAUGAAGGCCUUCGGGUCGUAAAACCCUUUUGCCACUGACGAGGAAGGACGGUAGGUGGCGAAUAAGCCUCGGCUAACUACGUG
rnacentral:rRNA from 1 species